AUUGCAUGAUAACUGUUUGAAAAGUGCAAUUGCACCACUACCAGAUGGACCUGCGUUGUAUUAGCUAGUUGGUGGGGUAACGGCUCACCAAGGCGACGAUACAUAGCCGACCUGAGAGGGUGAUCGGCCACACUGGGACUGAGACACGGCCCAGACCUCCUACGGGAGGCAGCAGUAGGGAAUCUUCGGCAAUGGACGGAAGUCUGACCGAGCAACGCCGCGUGAGUGAAGAAGGUUUUCGGAUCGUAAAGCUCUGUUGUAAGAGAAGAACGAGUGUGAGAGUGGAAAGUUCACACUGUGACG
rnacentral:rRNA from 1 species